rnacentral:lncRNA from 1 species
CCGUACAGCCGUUGCCUGGGCCCGACCUGGCUAUCCUAAUGGGAGAGCUAUGCAGGGAGUUAUCUCUGGAAGUGGAGCUCCUGGUGAGUAGUACGACUGUACGGCAGGGUGGCGGAUUUCGUAUGUACGGCGGUCCUGGCAUGGCGUUGAUGAUAGGCGGGGAGGGCCAGGGGGUGGCGUUGGAAGAAAGAUUCAGUUGGGCACUCGUUUGACUUUCGGAGAUGCUUCGUCACCGUGAUGCUGUUAUAAAUUUGAAUUCAUUUUCUAAAGGAGCAGGCGUAAACCCCAGGUGAAAAACAGUAAAGUUUGAUAUUUGCGUUAUCUGCUGCAGCAGAACCAAGAGGAACUAGAUGUCUCGGUGAGAUACCCGGUGCAUUUUUCGCUGUUUUUCCUUAUUGCCUAACAACCCUUGACAUGCGAUUGAUAUAGUGGCUGUGUUAUGUAUGUGAUGCUGCGAGCCAUUACAGCUGCGUCGUGUGUUCAUGCCGGAGACCGCAUAAUUUUUUCGUUUCUUGUCUGCCCGACAGAGCCGUGUCGCCGGCGCUGUGGAGCUUCAAACCCCUCAAGACGAUAUGUACGUGUACGAGAUGCUGCUUAAGUUGCAGCCGUACACGGACGAGCGUGCGGUGGCGGCGGCGCUCGCGCAGAGGGAGCUGUUAGCGCAGGCAGUUACGGGACGGGUGGAGGGUCCAGGGCAGCUGGGGCCAGAUGCCCCGGGUUCUGCACGGGGCAAGCGGUAGAGGGUUUUUAUCGCCUGCAACGUGGCUGUUGCGGAACUGCGCGGUAGCAGGUGCGGCCGCUCGGCUCUGUGCCCGUCGUUUCCUUGAUCGCACCAACUCCUGCAAACCGGCCUGGUCCGUGGGCACAUGCGAGGGAACGGCUAUGCAGGUGUACUUGUGUCUGGGUCUAACGCUCUCGCUUAUACGACAGCCACAUGUGUCCCACGUGUGAAACAGUAACAGCAACAACAACUGGCUUUCUGGCAUUUAAUGGACCGCGUUUUUAUUGACCGCGUCGAUCGCAGAUUUACUAGGAAUACUUCUCUCGUGAUAUUUGGGUGAAAAGAUGGCUGUGUGAAGACGGAUUUCCUGCGGACAUGCCAAACGAAAUGAAGUCCCCGUUGCUUUGGGCUGUUCGCUUUGGGACGUCCGCUCCAGUGGUGGGGUAUAAGAACCUCAUCAGGCCGUCGUUAGCUGUGGAUGAUAACCUCUCUCAGCGGGGCGAU